GCCUGGGUAGCUCAGCUGGUUAGAGUGUGGUGCUGAUAAUGUGGCCCCAAGGUUGCAGGUUCGAUCCUCCUAUGGGACA